AAUGGGUAGAUUAGCUAUUAAAAGUAAAAAUAGUUCAUUAUCAAUCAUCACCCUCAAUAGUAAGAAACAAAGAUCUUCCUUUCCUGCUAUUUGCAGCAGAAAUUUUUAACUCCGCGUGGCAUAAUAGUGUGGAGCAAGCUCAGUCAACCAUAAAUAAUCGAUUCUAGUUAUGUUGCGGAUAUACUUGUUAGAGGUUUGGACUAGUUCAUUGAAAAUUAUGCAAUCUGCCUUUGACUGGAAUAGUACAGAAGAAGGGUGAAUCUGCACUACCUGUCCACUUGCCAAAGCCCUGUAUGUUCCCUCAGGCUGCUUCAAAGCUGCAUUAACGAAAAAUGAAGCAGCAAGGCAUCUGCGGAAUUGAACCAGGUCAUCUCCACAGGACGAAAUACGAAGACCCAUUUGUUCAACAUGCCCUCGAAUUUGACUGUGAAUGUCACAAGCAUGCCUCAGGGAUCGACUAUUAAUAAAAUUUUCUUUGCACCAUUUUCUCAGAAAUUUUUCAUUUUUUCCAUGGAGAUUCUUUUUAUUACCAACUUCCAUAUUUCUUUUCUCCAAAAGUCUAUCUACUAUAUACGUUAACUAAAGUAAGAUGGUCUCCAUCUGGACUUGCAAAGCACUUCAUUGCAGCUAUCGCCUCAUCCUUCUUCUCGCGAGGGGCAUAAAAAAUAGAUUCCCCAGAGAGCAUCGCAACAGUUAUCAACAUUUCCUUCCAAGCAGUUGAACUGACUAGCUAGGAUGAGCGCUUUGGAAUAAAUAGGAUCUAAGGGAAGCCGAGCCAUUUGAUGCCCAAUAGGUUCUGACAACUUACAGUCAUCUGUCAAAGCACCAAGCAGAAACAAAUGCUCCAACGAUUUGAUGAUAGCUGCCCUAGAUGGCUUUUCCAUGAAAUCAAAUCUAAUGAUAUCAUCAACACCUAGAGCCUUCAGUUGCAAGAUGACAUUUGAGAGGUUGCACCGCUUGAUCUCUGGCCUUGUUGAAUCCUCAAAUUUCUCAAAUUCACGCUCUGGAUAGAGACGAAAGCACUUCCCAGGUCCUUCACGCCCUGCACGUCCACUCCUUUGAAGAGCCUGCGCUUUUGAAGUUGGAACAAUUAUCAAUGAUUCCAUUCCUUUGACUGGAUCAUAGGAACGUGCUUUUACAAAUCCUGGGUCUAUAACAUAUUUGAUUCCAGGUAUCGUCACUGACGUCUCAGCAAUAUUUGUGGCCAAUAUUACCUUACGAUGCCCAGCUGAAGCUGGCAUGAAAACCCGCAUCUGCUGCUCCGAUGGAAGGGAUGAAAACAUGGGGACAAUUAACAACUUUCGAUUGGCUUCAGGUAAUUUAUGAAGUUGUUCUUGCACAAGUCUUUCAACAGAUUCAAUCUCUUCUUGCCCAGUUAGAAAUACAAGUAUGUCACCAGGGGCCUCCUCCAAAUGAAUCUGGAAUAUAGUAACCAAGGUCGCAUCAAGAUAAUCUGGCUCAGGAUGAAGAGUAUACAGUAUAUCAACUUGAUGUUGGCGCCCUUCAAUAUGAAUAGCUCUGGCACCACCAAAGUACUCAGAGAAAACACGAGCAUCCAAGCUGGCGGACAUUAUGAUUAGCUUUAACGGAGGGAAUUUUCUACCAUGGCAUUGCCUGAGAAAACUAGUACAUUGAGUACCAGUUCCUGUCCCCUUCAUUGCCCUAUUGUUUGACUUCUUGUCAUCCAUAUUAUCAUGGUCCUUCAUGAAGUUUGACCUCACAUUUUGCACACUUUUUAGCAAUCCUAGCAAAACGUCAGUGUGGACUGAUCUCUCAUGAGCUUCAUCCACAAUGAUGACUGAAUAUCUAGAGAGGUAAGGAUCCAACAAUGCUUCCCUGAGUAGCAAUCCAUCAGUCAUGUACUUAAUCCUUG
rnacentral:misc_RNA from 1 species